UUUGCCCCCCGCGCUGCACAGGGGCGACAUGGGGGGAGUGGGCACCAGCUCGAAUUUCUUCCAGAUGUCUUCGCUGGGGGCGGUGGAUCGGUAGAAAUCCUCCUCGGAGUCAUGGUCAUAGAAGUAAUGCUGCUAACGUCCUGGAAUGAAGAUGAACUAGUGUCCAAGAACUCUCAGUGCUUCCGCAGUGGGAGGUGAAAGCAGGAUGGUGCAGUGGUUAGAGCACUGUGCAUGAGCCCAGAGCCUCAUCAGCUUGUUGGCAUCGAGCUCCCACUGAUUUCUGAGCCUCUGGCGUAUCUACAUCAUCAUGGGGAUAAAAAUCCUGCAGCUGGUCUGGGUCAGCUGACUCAGGCGCCGAGACUUUUAUCCCCAGGUGGACAUACCUCUGUGCCUCAAUUCUUUAUCCGCAAAAUAGCAAUAAUCCCUACCUCUCCGGGGAUCAAAUAUUUUAACAGAUUGUAAGGCGCUCAGAUAGUCUGAUAAGAGGUGCCAUAUAAAUCUGUACCUAAGACAGGCAGAAAAAUGAUCACCUCCUCAAGGGAAUCCAAAGAGUGGGUACUGCACGCAGCUGAUCUCAGCUACUUUAUAUUGAACAAUGCACAUGGCUGUAUAGGACACUUCAAGCUAAUCCAACUUCCAUUAUUUUUCACAGAACAACAGGCAGGUACUAAAAUGGCCCAUACUAGAUCCAGACCCCACAUUGAAUCCAGAACCGAUUUACAAUAGAAUCUACAUAGAAUACAACUGAAUGAACAACCUCCUACCCUAAGCUGCUUAUUGGGUCAGAAUCUCUGAUUUAUCCUAGCCAGGUCUACAGUAUUAAAAAGCGCCACCAUCUGGCGACUAGCUGAAAUUGCACCCUCCAAAACGUUCCCCUUUUGUAACUGAAGUUACAUAAGGUUAAUUAAAAAGUUGGUUACACAAAAAAAAGGAAGUGGAUGUUACCAAAGAUCUAUUUUCACUUAAUUCUAAAUGUCAGGUUGAGAUGGGAUGGAAACUCCCUGUUGGUUUAAAGAAUAACAUUGACAAGAGGAAGAAGGGGAAAGUAAAAAGAAACUUAAUUGGAGAGGUAAAUAAGAUUUUUAGUUUAAGUAAACAUAGCAGCUUUCUUGCUUCUAGACCCCCAAAGUGGACAGGGACUUGCUGAAACCAUCCCAAACAGCUGCCCACUUCUGGAGUGCACCAGCCAGGAGCUCAAACUGACACAAACACCCCUACAGAACAGAACAGGAGUGGGAGGGAAAUAUUUUGGUAAAUAUUGGACAAACCGCUACAAAUAUGAAAACUGCCAAGAGAUCUUUAAACACCCAGGGAAAGCAGAGAGAACAUGGAAUGUUAAAGUCUCACACUGGCAGGCUCUCAGCUGACAUGCUCUGGAAAGAUGAAGGCUGAGCCAUACCAGAAAGAUCUUAAUCUGAAUUAGCACAUUGGGCCAAAUUCAUUCAAGGCAUAUAGAUAGAUUUAAAAAAAAAAAAAACCUUACAGUAUUCUAGCCCCAGAUCACCACAAUAUAAUAGGAAGCAUUCUAAUACUGUAUUUCAUUUUUAUAAGGGCCAUUGUCUCAAAUACUUCUGCCAAUUGUCAAGACAAUGAAUAUCUAUUCACCAGUGUAGUAUCUAAGCAAUGAGAAGUUUAAAGUUAGGCAGAUUAAACAGUCUCAAGAAAUUGAGGAAUAUUUAAGGCUUAAAGAAAGUGAUUGUGAUCCAACAUGGAAGGUAAAAACCCUUUGAGAUUAAA